UGGUGACUAUAGCAAGGAGGUCACACCUGUUCCCAUGCCGAACACAGAAGUUAAGCUCCUUAGCGUCGAUGGUAGUCGAACGUACGUUCCGUUAGAGUAGAACGUUGCCAGGCA
rnacentral:rRNA from 1 species